GGAAAAAUAAUCUGACUCCGAUAUGUCAGGGCAUUGAUCUGCAGGGUUGAGUGGGCUGGUUGAGCUGGCUAGACAGAUGUCUAUUUCCUUGUUUAGUUCCAGGUGCUUCCAUCCCAAAGCUACACGCUUAGUUUAAAAGGGCAGCUACCCCGAUAGAGGCCUGAAUCAUUCUUCAGCCAAGGGUCUGAGUAUCUGUUUCUCUGAAAGACCUUCCACAAUGCCGUGUCCUCACCAGGGAAAUGGAUAUCAUCACCACACGAAGUGAAAGAAACCAGACUUAGAGAGACAAUAUUGAAUCUUUUCUGUCAUAUGUUGAACAUAGAGAAAGAAAAA
ensembl:misc_RNA 7SK 7SK RNA